GCCCGGGUGGCGGAAUGGCAGACGCGGGGGGCUUAAACCCCCCUCCUUGCAAGAGGGUACGGGUUCGAGUCCCGUCCCGGGCACCA
rnacentral:tRNA from 2 species